rnacentral:tRNA from 1 species
GGGCCCGUAGCUCAGUCUGGCAGAGCGGCAGGCUCUUAACCUGUUUGUCGCGGGUUCAAAUCCCGUCGGGCCCA